UCAAAAUCCGUUCUCUUUCUCAUUCAUUCUACCUUUUUACAAACGUAUCAGAGCAGAAUUUUUUUUUCUUUUAUCACAAUCACAAGUGGUGUGGUAUAUAUGAUAUACGUACAAAUGAGCAUCUUUGAACAAAGAAUCCCGAUUCACAAUUCAUAUCAUUGCUCAUACUGAAACUUAUAAAUUAUUCUAUUCAAGAAAUCGAAUUCCACGCUCAAGACUUUUAAUACCUUUUUUUAUCUUUUUUAAUUGACAUAGACCCCAGUCAUCUAGUAAAAUGAGGAUGAUGCGCCGGUAAUGGUCGGGAUAGCUCAGCUGGUAGAGCAGAGGACUGAAAAUCCUCGUG
rnacentral:tRNA from 1 species